CAGAUCUCACUGCAUGCACAACUGAAGGGAGAUAAAAGAGCGUGAGAGAAAUGCAAAACACAUGAAAACAACAUGAAAUGGAGCACAUACAAUGG